rnacentral:snRNA from 1 species
UUAAGAGACUUAGGCUUAGAGAC